rnacentral:rRNA from 1 species
AUUGAACGCUGGCGGCAUGCCUUACACAUGCAAGUCGAACGGCAGCACGGGAGCAAUCCUGGUGGCGAGUGGCGAACGGGUGAGUAAUAUAUCGGAACGUGCCCAGGCGUGGGGGAUAACGCAGCGAAAGCUGUGCUAAUACCGCAUACGAUCUAAGGAUGAAAGCGGGGGAUCGCAAGACCUCGCGCGAUUGGAGCGGCAGAUAUCAGAUUAGCUAGUUGGUGGGGUAAAGGCCCACCAAGGCGACGAUCUGUAGCUGGUCUGAGAGGACGACCAGCCACACUGGAACUGAGACACGGUCCAGACUCCUACGGGAGGCAGCAGUGGGGAAUUUUGGACAAUGGGCGCAAGCCUGAUCCAGCAAUGCCGCGUGCAGGAUGAAGGCCUUCGGGUUGUAAACUGCUUUUGUACGGAACGAAACGGCCCUUUCUAAUACAGGGGGCUAAUGACGGUACCGUAAGAAUAAGCACCGGCUAACUACGUGCCAGCAGCCGCCGUAAUAC